AGCGAACGCUGGCGGCAGGCUUAACACAUGCAAGUCGAGCGGGCCCUUCGGGGUCAGCGGCAGACGGGUGAGUAACGCGUGGGAACGUGCCCUUCGGUUCGGAAUAACUCAGGGAAACUUGAGCUAAUACCGGAUACGCCCUUAUGGAGAAUGGUUUACUGCCGAAGGAUCGGCCCGCGUCUGAUUAGCUAGUUGGUGAGGUUAUGGCUCACCAAGGCGACGAUCAGUAGCUGGUCUGAGAGGAUGAUCAGCCACACUGGGACUGAGACACGGCCCAGACUCCUACGGGAGGCAGCAGUGGGGAAUAUUGGACAAUGGGGGCAACCCUGAUCCAGCCAUGCCGCGUGAGUGAUGACGGCCUUAGGGUUGUAAAGCUCUUUUCUCCGGGACGAUAAUGACGGUACCGGAGGAAUAAGCCCCGGCUAACUUCGUG
rnacentral:rRNA from 1 species